rnacentral:pre_miRNA from 1 species
UUUCUACUCCCUUCGUCCGAAAAUACUUGUCAUCAAAAUGGAUAAAAAGAGAUGUAUCUAAAACUAAAAUAUGUCUAGAUACAUUUCCUUUUAUCCAUUUUGAUGACAAGUAUUUCCGGACGGAGGGAGUAUNGA